ensembl:lncRNA
GAUUACAUAGCUUCAUUUAUUUCUUUGAAUACUCAAGUUUCACGGUCAUUAAAGUAAUCACAGACUCAUCUCGGUCCCCAUGUGAGGGCAAUGCGGCAGUCUCUCCUUUAACCAUGAUCUCUCUCUCUCUCUCUCUCUCUCUCUCUCUCUCUCUCUCUCUCUCUCUCUCUCUCUCUCUCUCCUUUGGUCAUCACCUCUCUCCUGCUCGCUAACUCUCUUCCCCUUCAACCCUGCCAUAAAGGACGAUAAUUUAAAUUUUGGCAGUGAAUCAUGACAUUUAUUCAACUGGUCUCCAAACCACGAGAAGCUGGGUCUUACACUGUUCAGAACAAGCAAUAGCAAAGAGCAGUUCAGCGAGGAAAGGGUUAAUCGGAGCAAUGAACUGUCUUCCUACCCAAUUCAUAUAUUCAGCCCUUGUUUCUACUGAGAUAUGUCUCCAGCCAUUAAGUUGUCUCUGGUCAUGGAGUUUCAUCACAGCAAUAGGAACCCUAAGACAUACAUACCUGUAAUCUGGAAUUGGACGUGGGAGGACCGAGAGUUCAAGGUCACUCUUGGUUAUUUAAUGAGACUGAGCCGCCACACAUUUGGAAAACUUGUAUAUUUAUGUAAAGCUCCAAUAUCCAGUCUCAAGGAUGACUCAGUAUGGUAAAGACCCUCGCUGCCAGGCUUGAUGACUUACGCUUGAGUCCUGGAUCCCACAUGGUGGAAAAGUCAACUUUCACAAGUUUUUGACCUUCACAGUAGUCACAUACAAACAACAAAACCCUAGUUUGGGACCGUAGAGAUGGCUCAGCCAUCGUCUGUUGAGAGCCCUUCACAUAGCUUCUCACAACUGCCUGUAACUCCUGUUUCCAGGGAGUUGGUGCACAUGUAUAACAUGUGCACUCAUACACGUGAAAAUAAAUGGAUCUUUAAAAUACAAAAAUAAAAACAAAGUUUUAGGUUGGUCCUGU